GUAGAUAAUUUAUGUGGAUUUUACAUAA
rnacentral:piRNA from 1 species